UACGUAAGUGGCGAGCGUUAUCCGGAAUUACUGGGCGUAAAGCGUGUGUAGGCUGCUACAUAAGUCGGAUGUGAAAGCCCCGGGCUCAACCCGGGAAGUGCACUCGAUACUGCGUAGCUUGAGUCUCGGAGAGGUUGGUGGAAUUCUCGGUGUAGAGGUGAAAUUCGUAGAUAUCGAGAGGAACACCGGUGGCGAAGGCGGCCAACUGGACGAAGACUGACGCUGAGACACGAAAGCGUGGGGAGCAAACAGG
rnacentral:rRNA from 1 species